rnacentral:tRNA from 1 species
GCUCCCGUAGCUCAACUGGCAGAGCGUCGCCCUCCGGAGGCGAAGGCUGCAGGUUCGAAUCCUGCCGGGAGUG